rnacentral:lncRNA from 1 species
GGGGAGCAUGGUCCCUCCUAGGGAUGUCCGCCUAAGUUUAUACACACCUAGUACUACAGAGCACAAUGCUAUUCCAAGCAAAAAGAGAAGAGCCCAUCUCCUCGCGCUGGCCCCACCAUUACCUGUGCCCGUGCCAAGGAUGGAAACGGGGGGAGGUCCGUGCAGAAGAAGAGAAAUGGUGGGGAAUGGCGGCGAAGGUGAGGACAAAGUGGGGCAGGGACAGGGGGGACUGUUCCUAUUGAUAC